rnacentral:tmRNA from 1 species
ACAUGUGCGCGUGAGAGUCAGAGCUGAGAAAACGAAUAGCGCACUACGCCCGUAGAAGCCCUGUUUUAGUACCAGAGGACCCGGGUUCGAUUCCCGGCACCUCCACCA